AGAGCAAGUUCCAAUUUGAAUAAUGAGAAGAAGAUCAAUUAUGCCGUUGAGUUUCCGGUUGAGUAAUUUGCAGGGGUAUGUCAAGGUCGAGCAGGUUGCCGCCGGUUGGCCCACCUGGCUUAACAUCGUCAUCGAUACUAGAGAAGGUAGAAAUUGCAUUUUUGAAUUUUGUAAAUUUCAUUGGAUUUGGUUUCUGUAUUGAUGAAUAAGAUUCUAGCUUGUAUUGAAAAACAUUGAAGAACUUCCCGAAGCUUGUUCUUCCUUGUUCUUCAGUCGAGAAAGAAAUUGGGUUUCAGUAGGUGUGAGACUGAGUUUUGGGCGUGAGUUUUGCUGGGUUUAACAAAGAAAGGACAUUAUUGAAAAGUCGCUGGGUGUACUUACAGAUUCUAUAAUUUUUGGGCGUAAAUAAUUUACUGGGUCUACUUAAUAAUUUACUGAUACAUUUAGAAACACCCCUGUUUUUUUUAGUAGGAUCUCAACUCUCACUCUCUCUAAAAUCCCAGAUUUCAGUUCCUCUCUCUGUACUAACCACGAUACCGAGUCCCGAUUUGCAGCCUCCGCCGCCUCAAAACCUAGAUUUGCCGUCGCCGAUGACGUCUUCUAAAGGCGAAGAGAGCCACGAGACGGCGUUUCACUCGCCGCAGUGCUCGCCUCAACAACCCAGAUCUUUGAAACCCGGAUUUAUGAGAUGGAUUUUUUGUUUUGGUAUCCAAUAAUAGUGUACUACGUCUGAAUCAACAUCAACAUCAUGAUUACGGGCCUCAAUCGAGCAACACAACUUGGCUAUUUGACUCAGGUUGAGGGACGUGGUGAAGAGGAUUGUCAAGAUGCAGAACAAGGGGGAAAAGCUUGGGACUAUGUCGCCGAUGGAUCAGUAUCUAUACAGAACCCACAUCCUUGAAGCUUCACUAAUGUACUUGCAGGCAAUAGAUGCUGCUGAAAAUUGGCCUUGCAAGAUGAAGUGCAGGUUACUGAGAAUUUGCAUGGAUACUUCUGUUAUGAACAAUGAGCAGAGGGCAUAUUAUUGCAAAUGAAAAUUUUGCAAGGUGACAAAUGAAGUUUAUCGAAUGUGUAAUCUUGUGAUUGACCUCUCUUCGGUUGCAGCUGGUGUUUCUCUAGUUAGGACUUGUUUUUCUCUAGUUUUCUGCGUUGCUUUCCCUUUCGUAUUAUUGUUGUAAGCACCUAGCCUUUGUGGCUCUUAUUCUAUUUGGUUUGCAGUUAGUCUCCAGUU